GACGAACGCUGGCGGCGUGCUUAACACAUGCAAGUCGAACGAUGAUGCUGGAGCUUGCUCCAGUUGAUUAGUGGUGAACGGGUGAGUAACACGUGAGCAAUCUGCCCUUGACUCUGGGAUAACUGCGGGAAACUGUAGCUAAUACCGGAUACUUUCACCGGAAGGCAUCUUCUGGUGACGAAAGAAUUUCGGUCAGGGAUGAGCUCGCGGCCUAUCAGCUUGUUGGUGAGGUAACGGCUCACCAAGGCGACGACGGGUAGCCGGCCUGAGAGGGUGACCGGCCACACGGGGACGGGGACCCGGCGCAGACUCCAACGGGAGGCAGCGGGGGGGAAUAUUGCACAAUGGGAGCAAGCCUGAUGCAGCAACGCCGCGUGAGGGAUGAAGGCCUCCGGGUUGUAAACCUCUUUUAGCAGGGAAGAAGCGAAAGUGACGGUACCUGCAGAAAAAGCACCGGCUAACUACGUGCCAGCAGCCGCCGUAA
rnacentral:rRNA from 1 species